GUCACCAGCCACAUCCUGAACGCGCCCGAUCUCGUCUGAUCUCGGAAACCAAGCAGGGUCGGGCCUGCUUAGUACUCGGAUGAGAGACCGCCUGGGAACACCGGGUGCUGUAGGCU
rnacentral:rRNA from 1 species